rnacentral:rRNA from 1 species
GACGAACGCUGGCGGCGUGCUUAACACAUGCCAGUCGAACGGAAAGGCCCUGCUUGCAGGGUGCUCGAGUGGCGAACGGGUGAGUAACACGUGGGUGAUCUGCCCCUUAUUUUGGGAUAAGCCUGGGAAACUGGGUCUAAUACUGGAUAGGACCAUGCUGUAGGUGGUGUGGUGGAAAGAUUAGUUUCGGUAAGGGAUGAGCUCGCGGUCUAUCAGCUUGUUGGUGGGGUAAUGGCCUACCAAGGCGUCGACGGGUAGCCGGCCUGAGAGGGUGGACGGCCACAUUGGGACUGAGAUACGGCCCAGACUCCUACGGGAGGCAGCAGUGGGGAAUAUUGCACAAUGGGCGCAAGCCUGAUGCAGCGACGCCGCGUGGGGGAUGACGGCCUUCGGGUUGUAAACUCCUUUCAGCCAUGACGAAGCCCUUGUGGUGACGGUAGUGGUAGAAGAAGCACCGGCUAACUACGUG